rnacentral:rRNA from 1 species
GACAGAGGGGGCAAGCGUUGUUCGGAAUUACUGGGCGUAAAGCGCGUGUAGGCGGUCGGGCAAGUCGGAUGUGAAAGCCCAGGGCUCAACCCUGGAAGUGCACUCGAUACUGCUCGGCUAGAGUCCCGGAGAGGAUGGUGGAACUCUCGGUGUAGAGGUGAAAUUCGUAGAUAUCGAGAAGAACACCGGUGGCGAAGGCGGCCAUCUGGACGGUGACUGACGCUGAGACGCGAAAGCGUGGGGAGCAAACAGG